UUUUCCAAUUCAUCAUCUUAGCUAGUGAUAAUGUUUUUCCAAUGUUACAACAUGAAGAAAUUGAGGGAAAUUCUGCAUUCCCUGGGGUUACCUUUUUCAGCUUGGGCAGCAAUCCGCUAGUAAACCAGGGUGACCUAGGCAGAUUGGUGGUUGUUAUUGCUCAUCAGCUACUUAGAAAGAUGUCAUACACACUAAAAAGAACAGAAUUUGCCUCAGAUGGUAUAUGUUACUUUUAAGGGAAAUUCUAACGCUUGGGGAUUUGAGGAUGAGAGUAAAAAAUCCUAAAGAAAAAAAAUAUGUUCAACUAUUUUAUGCUAAACUUAAAUUUUCUAACAGUAUAUUUAACCCAUAUUUUAAAUUCAUUUUUAAGAUUCAAACAUGUUUAAAAAUCUUAAAGUAUUUUGGUCCUAUUUAAGGUGUACUGCAAGCUAAGUUUUAUACAAAGGGCCUUCAAAUCACUGGGAAAGGUAUCUAUCUAUUCCUCAAUUUAACACCCUUCUCUUUCAUCUGCUCUCCCCCAUAACUAAAAAGUCAAACAAAUCCUCAACUCUCUCUGUAGUAAGAGUGUAAUAAGAUGUCAAUUUUGAGGUUAAAAAAUCAUAUGAAAAGGAAUCUUAUUCUGUUGAACUGUCAGUCUACUGAAAAUUUUCUUACAGUUCCAUUAAUUUACUGUAAUUUUCCAUUUCCAAAUACAAAAAUACAACAAUUCUUAUUGAAAUCUAUACGCUGGUAGUUUUAGUACACAAAAAAACCAAACAAAUUAUUUACAAAAUUAUACAGUUUAAGAAAAAACUUUGUACAAAAAAUAUAUAAAUCCUUUGUUCCCUCUAUCACGUUUAAACUGUCAGGACUCAAAAUAUUCACCACAAUGAAUCUUUCAAAAUAUAUACCGACUGAGCCACAGACAUCAAGAAAAUUUCAUUAGAGAUGAUGGAGGAGGAAGGAGCAAGAUUGCUUAUUCUAGGUACCCCAUUGUAAUGUUUUCCUUCUUUUAUAAGCUUAUUUUAGCUUCAGUGUUAUCAGAAAUAUAAUAAUAGCCAAGA
rnacentral:lncRNA from 1 species